rnacentral:rRNA from 1 species
AAUUUUUAUGGAGAGUUUGAUCCCGGCUCAGGAUGAACGCUGGCGGCGUGCCUAAUACAUGCAAG